UCGAUAUCGGGUGACGCUACGGACUUAAAAUCCGUCGACUUUAUAAGUCGUGAGGGUUCAAGUCCCUCUAUCCCCA
rnacentral:tRNA from 1 species